rnacentral:lncRNA from 1 species
CCAUUUGAUUAUUAGGUGAACAUGGAUCAGCCAUUUAAUUUUAAAAUUAGGUUUAACUAGGUCAAAAUAAAAAAUUAUACCAUGCAUGUACCAGUGCAAUCCCUAAUAUGUGUGGUUCAGAUUUUUUUUUUAAAUUUUUAUUUUUUAAGAAAAGGGAGAAAGGAAAAGAGAAGAGAAAGAAAGAGAGAAGUUCUAAAGGUGAGAUCCUUAAGAAAGCCAUAGACCUAAAGAUGAAAAGUGGGAAGAAUUAGUUGUGGUUGGGUGUUAAUUACAAUCAAAUUAGUAAACAAUUAAACCUAGACACCUAUGGUUUCUUAGACCUAAUAGUUUGAUAUAGAGUGGCUUAGCCUAAAUAUAAAUUGAGUUUGUCCUCACUUACUUUAACUAGGCAGGUAAGAAGUGGGGUCGUGGGGGUCCUCCUGUUGCUUGCCUUAGACACCAAUUGAAUUGGCUAGAUAACCUAACGGAACCAAUUAGAUAACCACGAGUCCACUUAGGUUAAGCUUUUGUAACCUCUAGUCUUAAACACCAGUUUCAGGCAUGAGUUCGAACUUACUUUGCACUUGACUUCACCAUAAUACUCAAACUAAACUC